GCCUACGACCAUACCACCGUGAAUAUACCGGUUCUCGUCCGAUCACGGCAGUCAAGCACGGUUGGGCCAGAUCAGUACCUGGAUUGGUAACACCUGGUGUUGUAGGCU
rnacentral:rRNA from 1 species